AGGAACCUCGCCGUUGGAGGUAGGGGAAGUAAACAGACUAAGAAAUAGCUGCUAAUACCGCAUGAUGCAGUGAAGUCGCAUGGCUUUGCUGCCAAAGAUUUAUCGCUCUGAGAUGGCCUCGCGUCUGAUUAGAUAGUUGGCGGGGUAACGGCCCACCAAGUCGACGAUCAGUAGCCGGACUGAGAGGUUGGCCGGCCACAUUGGGACUGAGACACGGCCCAGACUCCUACGGAAGGCAGCAG
rnacentral:rRNA from 1 species